UAGGGAAUCUUCCACAAUGGGCGCAAGCCUGAUGGAGCAACACCGCGUGAGUGAAGAGGGGUUUCGGCUCGUAAAGCUCUGUUGUUAAAGAAGGACACGUAUGAGAGUAACUGUUCAUACGUUGACGGUAUUUAACCAGAAAGUCACGGCUAACUACGUGCCAG
rnacentral:rRNA from 1 species